rnacentral:SRP_RNA from 1 species
GCGCCGGCCCUCCGCGACGGCAAGCCGUGAACCCCGCCAGGCCCGGAAGGGAGCAACGGUAGCGGUGCACCGGGCGCCGGAGUCAGCUGGCGCGGA